rnacentral:rRNA from 1 species
GGCAACGAUCAGUAGGGGUUCUGAGAGGAAGGUCCCCCACAUUGGAACUGAGACACGGUCCAAACUCCUACGGGAGGCAGCAGUGAGGAAUAUUGGUCAAUGGGCGAGAGCCUGAACCAGCCAAGUAGCGUGCAGGAAGACGGCCCUAUGGGUUGUAAACUGCUUUUAUAAGGGAAUAAAGUUAGUCUCGUGAGACUUUUUGCAUGUACCUUAUGAAUAAGGACCGGCUAAUUCCGUGCCAGCAGCCGCGGUAAUACGGAAGGUCCGGGCGUUAUCCGGAUUUAUUGGGUUUAAAGGGAGCGUAGGCCGGAGAUUAAGCGUGUUGUGAAAUGUAGACGCUCAACGUCUGCACUGCAGCGCGAACUGGUUUCCUUGAGUACGCACAAAGUGGGCGGAAUUCGUGGUGUAGCGGUGAAAUGCUUAGAUAUCACGAAGAACUCCGAUUGCGAAGGCAGCUCACUGGAGCGCAACUGACGCUGAAGCUCGAAAGUGCGGGUAUCGAACAGGAUUAGAUACCCUGGUAGUCCGCACGGUAAACGAUGGAUGCCCGCUGUUGGUCUGAACAGGUCAGCGGCCAAGCGAAAGCAUUAAGCAUCCCACCUGGGGAGUACGCCGGCAACGGUGAAACUCAAAGGAAUUGACGGGGGCCCGCACAAGCGGAGGAACAUGUGGUUUAAUUCGAUGAUACGCGAGGAACCUUACCCGGGCUUGAAUUGCAGAGGAAGGAUUUGGAGACAAUGACGCCCUUCGGGGUCUCUGUGAAGGUGCUGCAUGGUUGUCGUCAGCUCGUGCCGUGAGGUGUCGGCUUAAGUGCCAUAACGAGCGCAACCCCUCUCCUUAGUUGCCAUCAGGUUAAGCUGGGCACUCUGGGGACACUGCCACCGUAAGGUGUGAGGAAGGUGGGGACGACGUCAAAUCAGCACGGCCCUUACGUCCGGGGCUACACACGUGUUACAAUGGCAGGUACAGAGAGACGGUUGUACGUAAGUACGAUCAAAUCCUUAAAGCCUGUCUCAGUUCGGACUGGGGUCUGCAGCCCGACCCCACGAAGCUGGAUUCGCUAGUAAUCGCGCAUCAGCCAUGGCGCGGUGAAUACGUUCCCGGGCCUUGUACACACCGCCCGUCAAGCCAUGAAAGCCGGGGGCGCCUAAAGUCCGUGACCGUAAGGAGCGGCCUAGGGCGCAACUGGUAAUUGGGGCUAAGUCGUAACAAGGUA